rnacentral:rRNA from 1 species
CCCUUAGAUGUUCUGGGCCGCACGCGCGCUACACUGAUGCAUUCAACGAGUCUAAAACCUGGUCUGAUAGGGCUGGGUAAUCUUUUGAAUGUGCACCGUGAUUGGGAUAGAUGAUUGCAAUUCUUCAUCUUCAACGAGGAAUGCCUAGUAAACGCAAGUCAUCAGCUUGCAUUGAUUACGUCCCUGCCCUUUGUACACACCGCCCGUCGCACCUACCGAUUGAAUGGUCCGGUGAAGCCUCGGGAUUGUGACUGGCUCUGCCACGUUGCGAGAACUUGUCUAAACCUUAUCAUUUAGAGGAAGGUGAAGUCGUAACA